GUCAAUUACAUUAACAGUAGACAAAUAGAAAUCAUAUGUAUUUGACAGGAGGCCAUUUUAAGAAACUUUAUAUUUGUAUGCUGCAAACAUAAUGAUACACUUAAAAAGAAAUGUCAUCUAUUAUUCAUGACUUUGAAGAAAAUACAAAGAGCUCUUGAAAAAAAUCAGAAAAUUAAAGUUCUUUUAAAAAUGUGAAGGUUUUGAUUUUAGUAGCUCAUUUUAUUUUUUAAGUUGGUUUUUUUCUAUGAUAAGUGAUUUUUAUGUGGUGACAAACAAAAAGAUUUAAUGUAUUUUAAAUAUGCCAGAGAGAUUGUUUCAGAAAACCCUUUAUGCUUGGGAAUAUUCAAGGCUGUAAGAAACAAAAUCUCUAUUAGAGCUUGAACUGGGCUGGGGGCAGGCCAUGGAGAAUAGUUAGACCCAGCUGACUGUAGCAGGUAAUUAAGGAAGUUCUCUCAAUGGAUGAUAUGAGAUAAUCAGUGCACAGGUGAACCAUUCAGGGAAUCUUGUAGCACACAAAGGUCAGAGGUCAAUUCAGGAAGCUCAGAAGGCCCACUGCUGGCUCAUUGGUGGAAUUUCAGCCAUUGGGAUUCCACAACACAAAAAGAUCAGUGAUGAAAUUGAAAAGGAACCAGGAAAGACCCUUGUGCUGGGACUAGAGUACAAAGAUUCUGCUGCUGGAACUGGGGCCAUUUCCAGGACAUCCAGACAUGAGCAAAUCAUCUCCCUAAAUGUCUCUGUUUCAUUACAAUUUCAUCAUACUCCUUUGAACACACCUGCUCACAGAGAACAGUGUCUUUGGAACAAUCUCUGCUGAAUUCCACUUGUGUGUGCCUAUGCCCCGCCAUCAUUCCUUUCAUGCUUGCGUGACUUUUGUCUGGUGUAUUCGAGAUGCGAGAAAAAGCCUUGAUCCAGAUCAUCAGAAUGUAAGGACUCUACAACCAGUCAGAUUAUUAUCCCCGGUACCCAGAUAAAGACACAGGGGGUGCAUCAGACUUUGACACUCGAGUAGGGUUUCUGCCACCAAGUCUCCGGGCAACUCACUCUUUCUGGGUGGCAGUUGCAAAUGGUUUUGAAGUUUGUUCAUAAAUCCUAGGCUAUCUCAGAAUCCUGGAUGGGGAGUCAGGUGACCCGAAAUCAGUACGAACCAGCUGUGUGGCCUUAAGCAAAUAGCGGCUCUGCUCUGGGCUCUAUUUUCCUGUGUAGUGGUAGGAACAAGGGUUUGAAUCCUCACUCCACUUCCUAGUGUUUGUGUAAUUUUUAGCAAGUUAUUAACAUCUAGCAUCUCAGUCUCCUUACCUGUAAGCAGAGGUAAUAAAAGGACUGUUAUUUUAUACUCUUAUGUAUUCAUAUUUACAAAUUUAUUGUUAUAAAUUAUUGGAGCAGUUUACUCAGAUAUUGUAAGUUUUAGCUAUUGUUAUAUGUGGGAGAAGGGAGAUAAUAGAUAUGAAAAACACUUUGAAAUGAUUGAAAGUCCCUAUGUACAUAAGAAGAUAAGUGAAAAAGAUAUAGUAUUAGCUAUCUAAUUCUGUGUAACAAUUAUCCCUAAGCUUUGCAGCUUGCUUACUGUCUCACAUAGUUUCUAAAAAUAAAUGGUUUGGGCUCAGUGUGUCUUCUAAGAGUCAGGAGCUCAACUAAGCUGGAGGACCUGAGGUGUCAGUAGCUGAUGAAAACAACAAGCCCAAACAGAAGUGAUAGCGAGGUCUUUCAUCACUUACUGUGAUAGUGUUCAUAAGAGGCUAAGAUGGGAGAAAGCUUCAAUCACCUUCAGUUCCAUUUUUCCCCCUUGGAAUAGUAUGUUGGUUGAGGGUCAGAUGAAUUGUCUCAGUGCUGAAGGAACCCUGAACAAAGGACUCCUGAAGUUUUAUGGACCUGGCAUGGGAAGGAGGACUAGGAGUAGGAAAGUACAGUGAUGCAUUGCAUACGAUGUUUGGGUUAACAAUGGACUUCAUAUACCCAAGUGGUCCCACAAGAUUAUAAUGAACCUGAAAAAUUCCUAUUGCCUAGUGACACUGGAGUCAUCAUAAAGUGGCAGCACAGUGCAUC
rnacentral:lncRNA from 1 species